GUAAAGCGAACCUUCCUCACCUGAUGGAUUCUGUAGUAAAACGGACUGUUUAGCUAUCUUAAUUGGCAGCUGGUGGCCAAACAGUGUUAGUCAGUGUCGGAAAGUAAAGAACUAUCACGCAGCUCAGUCAAACCAAAGUCGUUUUAAAUGUAUCCGGUCUUCAGAAGAAUCAACGUGAAAGGAAAGACAAAACAUUUGUAGCUGGACACAACAAUCACGACGACGCUAGCCUACUGCUAGCUAACAGCUAACUGCGCAACCAGGAAUGUGUUGGAACAGGUGUUGCAAACUUCGGUGUAGAGAAACAAAUGUUAACUGGACAAGAGAGAAACAAACUUACCAUGAACUCCAGAGAUGUUAGUGAAGUAUCCGAAGUGUUGUUGUUCGUGGUAAUGUUCGUAAGAUGAACCUGGACCGGCUGAAACAGAAGAGUGCCGCACUUUUUUCCUCUUGGCUGUGCUGAGACGUGAGGAGUUUUACCAAACAGUUUCACACUUUUCUUUCUGUUCUGCUGGGCCCCACUCCAGAUCAGAUCUUUUGCCACUGACUUUGAUUUCUUAAGCCCUGUGAUAGACUGGUGACCUGUCCAGGGUGUCCCCUGCUUUCGCCCCAAGUCAGCUGGGAUACAUUCCAGCCCUCCGUGACCCUAAUGAGGAUUGAGCGGUGUAUAGAUAAUGGAUUGAUAGAUUAUUUCCAUCCACUCAUGUAUAAAUUGGGCCUUACUUGAAGUAUGCACAAGCGCAUACAGAAAAUGUAAUCGAGGCUGAAAUCAGAAUAAAG
ensembl:lncRNA